rfam:Oxytricha trifallax strain JRB310 Contig15852.0 macronuclear, whole genome shotgun sequence.
GCCCGUCUAGCUCAGUCGGUAGAGCGCUUGGCUCUUAACCAAGUGGUCGAGGGUUCGAGCCCCUCGGUGGGCG